CACAGUUUCAAGGCGGCCCCCGGGAGGGGGGGAGAGGGAGAGCCGGGGGGCGGUUUCUAGGCUCCCCACACCCCCCCUCGGGUGGACCCCGAGGCCCGGGAGCGGCGCGGGGGAGAUCAAAGGCGGCGGCGAGAGGGGAACGGGCCGGAGUCACCCACCGGCUCCACCGCGCUGCCGGCAGGACGACAAUCGAGUUAGGAGGGCAAGUGGCCGGGGGACGCGGCACAGCCCGUGGGGACCCUCCGGCAUCGCGACCACAGUGCGCCCCAGCACCGCACGGACAGACCUGCGCGCACCGGGACGCACGGACACGGCAUGGUGCCCAGCACUCACACACCCCCGGGGACGGGGUGCAAGGACAGACUGCGGGGACAGCCGGCUGCACCGCGGGGCACAGCCUUGGCACAUGCGCUAGUGCACAGGGACGUGCAGCCGCAGCAGGGAGUGAUGCACAGCGACAAGCAGACACACGGACCAGAGGGAUGCCAGAUCACGCCGUGAGCACGGACCUCACGUGCACAGCGGCAGCGCACACCCUGUAUCCUCCACAGCCGCGGUGCAAAGGCCGCGGUGCCAGCAGCGCAGCCCAGGGUGAGCACCGUGGUGCCAUGGGCCCUUCGGUACAGUGGAGAUUUCUCCUCCAUCUGUGUGAGGAGCGGGAGGGGGGACGUGCUGGGACCCUCCUGGGAUAGACCUUUGUUGUCCUGCUGCCCCGGCAUACCCCCUCCCUGCAUGCUGCCCACCAAAGUGCACUUUUUCUUCCUCGAUUAUUUUCCCUGUGGUGUUUCAAAGCAGCCGCUGGAGCCGAGCACCCUGGCCAGCAUGGGCUGAGCUCCACGGCUGGAUCCAGGGCUCCCCCUCUCCCAGGGAAACCUGCCGCGGGGAGCGGGGCUGGCUGUAUCCUGACCACCCUGGGAGCAUCCUCCUGUGGAUGUGCACGGCAGCUCCGAGCCACAGCCCGCAGUCAUCCCCGCGCUCUGGGAAACACGCUAAAACAUCCCCAUUGGAUCCCUCUCCAUCUGGGAAAGGGCUCUGGCCCGAUAAAUAACAUUACGGAUUAACCCAGCGCAUGGAAUCGUUGCCAAACAGGAGUGUGCGAUGCAAAUCCUGGCGUUGGGGUAACUGUGCCGGGUGCCGGCGGGGCGGUGGGUCGGGGCCGGUGCAUUGUUUGGCUGCCAGUGGUCGGGAAUCGCUCGGAAACAGUUUCUUGACUGCAAAACAAAAAACCCCAAACCCCCCCCAAAAAAAGAAAAAAAAAAGCGGCUGUGAGGCUCUUCCUUCCCCCAGUGAGCGCCAGGGGGUGAGUGGGAGUGGGAAGGGGCCGGGAACCCCCCACCCCACAGUGCCGGGUCGGAAGAGGUUUGUGGAGCUGGGAGAUACUCGAGCCCUGACCCUGCAUCCCUGGGUACGGUGGGCAGGCCCCCUCUCGUGGGUAUACGUCGCCCGUGGGCAGAUCCCCGCCCCGGGCACAUCCCCAGUGUGUAAACAUCCCCCCACAGCCCCACAGCCGCCUUUGUCCGCGCCCCCGGGGUGGCCCCGCCGGGACCGGAGACAAAGGGCGGCAGGAGGGACCGAGCUCUCCACCCCUCCCCGACCGCCCCCAGGAGACCUGGAGCUGCUGCAGGAUCGGCCCUGCACGGCUCCGAGCCCUGCACCACUGCUGCAUGCAUGCAGGGCACCCGUCUCCCCCAGCCCUGCACCGCUGCUGCCUGGGUGCAUGGGCCGCGCGUCACCGCGGCCCUUGGGCUUUGCCGCACGGCGCCGGUGCAUGCAUGCACGCGGGAGCAUCCGCAUCGCCGGCCCCGUGUGCUCCUGCACGGCUGCGCAGCGGCCAGCAGCAGGAGCCAGGCUGGGGCUGUGCUAUUGCAGAGCACCCCGAGCACAGGGGCACCUUUGGGUGGGCAAGAGGGCCCCAAGGAAGGGGUGCAGCGACAGAGGCAGGGGCUGCGGGCAGGGCGCUGCCUGUUCCUGCACAGGGGUGUCUUCCUCUGGCCAAGCGCAUGUUUGGGGGUGCAGUGAGGAGGCUGUGACCUGCACGUUGGCACCCCGACCUGGCAGGGUACCAGAACCUGCGCCUGCCCGUGUGGAGCCGCUCACCCAGGGGCAGGCACAUGCCCUGCAUGUUUUGGUGCUUCAUCCUCAUGGGAGCUGCUGAACCCCCUCGGAAAGGAGACAAGGCUGCCGAGCAGAGUCAGAGCAGGUCAGCCCUGGGCCGGGGCUGGAGCAGCCCCCUGCUCUUCUCAGCCACCCCAGCACCACCGUGGUGGGACCCUCGGCCAGUGUGACCCUGCUGUUGCCCCUGCAUGGCCCAUCCAAGGGCUUUGCAGCACAGCACGGCUUGGCACAGCGUGGCCUGGCAUGGCACGGCACAAUGUGGGUGGCUCAGCCUCCUGGUGCUUGGGGCAGGCAGGUUUCCAGCUGGCUGCAGGUUUGCCAGCAUGUUGCAAGGCUGUCUGUGACCAAGGGUCGUGUUUGCAGGCGUGGAGGGAAGAGGCAGCUCAGCGCUGCCAUCACCUCCACUCCCAGCCUGGGGACGUCAUUCCCCCACCCUGGGCUCCGGGGAGGCUUCUGCAGGUGGGGGGCAGCGGGGGGCACAGAGCCUCACCUGCUCUGGGGUCCCAAGGAAAAAGGAAGAAACUUAACUCCCAUUAACUGUCCCAUUGUAUCGGCCGUGGUAAUAAUCGGGUUUGCUAAUGCAAUUGCUGCUGCGAUGUGAAAAUCCUACUGGAAAAUGUAUUAGAGCAAUUAUCCGCCUCACUCCGCAGCCGGGUGUAGCAUUAAUAUUCAAUUUUGAUGUGGAAGUCCUAUUAUGUUAAUGACUUUGGUGACAAAAGUCGUUAAUGUAAGACUUUUCCUUUAUGGUGUGGCAUUAGCUGGGGUGAAUACCACCGCGACGACGGUGCGCCUGGCGGGAUUGAACGGUGCGUGCCGUAAGGGCAGCAGGCCGGGGCCAUGGUGCCAUGGGGGGAGCUGGGCUGGGUCCCCUCCCCCGGCUCCACACAGGCCCUCGAAUCCUGGCUGAGCAGCCCCUUAUCCCCAGUGUGCAGUGCUGCUGGUGCAGGGGACAGCCGGUGCACGGGGCCCCAUGGGAGGGCUGUGCCGGGGGUGCGCCGGCCGCAGGGCCGUGGUGGCAGCGGGGUGUGCCGGGGCCCCGAGGAGGGCGCGGGGCGGAUUAGCUGCGCUGCAGCGCAUCCGGCAGCGGCACUCCCUCUGCUGCAGAUACCCUCCUUUGUUCUCUCCCGGAGCCAGGGGAGAUGCACCCGUGCUUCCCCGCCUGCCGGAGAGCGCGGCAGUGCCAUCCCGGGGCUCACCAGCAUCCCUGCCUCCCCUGGUGACACCGGGGCUGCCCCCCUGCCUGGCUGCUGCUGUGCUGCUGUCUGCGGUUUGGGCAGCAUCAUAGGCAGGCCUGCACAGACGGACAGACCAACAGCUCCUCCUCGGACUGUGGUGGAGACUCGUGGGCAGCCAGCCUCGGAGCCGGAGGCUGGUGGUGAGGGGACAUGAGGAGGGGUAUGAGUAGUGCAGCCUGAGGCCCUGCAAAGCCGGCAGUGGGGGCAGCACCCCUCGCUCCAGCCAUCAUGGGCCACCACCGUGGCUCCUGGACAGGAACAGCUGUGCUGUGGCUGGUGCGAGGCUGGGCCCCAUCGUGACAAACAGCAUCCGGGAGCACUGUAGGGGAUUGGAACCCUUGAACACGGGAGCCAGGAGCUGCCUGUGAUGUUAAAAUGACCGUGACCUUCACCUUUCCAGCAAAGGGCUUGUCUCAAGCAGCCGUGCUCACUACCGCCAGACUGGGAGUGACUUAACACACCAGCUUUGCCGCAAGCGUGGCCUGGCAGUAGGCAGCCCUACAGCACGGCUUGCAGCCGGCCUGGCACUGGGGCCAGCUAGGAAGCAGGAAAUUUCUUAUGGCUUAGGAGAGGCUGGUGGUUCCCGGACACAACCCAGGCACAGGCUGGGAUUUCCAGGUGGCCUUUCCUGGGCCCCUUGGGAGGCUCCUGCCCAGCAGCCACUGAAGCAGCUUCCUGCACCCCUCCAUGCGGUGGGUGCUCAGCACAGCCAGGUCCCAGCACAUGACUUGGCAUGUAGCUCUGAGUCCCAGCCCUGGGGGUCCAUGCAUGGUGCAGAUCCAGCGGCAUGGGGGGCGGGGCUGCAGGCAGUUUGGCUUUGCUGCCCACAGUCUCCCCCGCCAACACGAUGGGCCCCACGGACCUGUCUGCUGUGAGCUAGUGGGGCCACAGGUGUCCAAGCACAGCCUAGCCCUCCGCUGCUGUGUCUGCUCAGGGCCAGCCCUGACCCAUAACAUACCUGCGAUGGAGCCUGAGGGUCCCAGCCGGGGCUGGGGCCGCUCCUCACCAUGUCUCCCUGGGCACCACGGGGUCUGCCAGGGCAGGAGGGUGCCAAGCUGGUGCCAGAACACAGGGUCUGGCAUUGAUAGUGCAUGGCUAGGCACGGCUGCUUGGGGCUGCUGGGGGCAAGGGACCCUCCGGGGGACACACAGCACCCUCUGGGGGACACAUGGCACCCUGCUGGGUACGUGGCACUCUCCGGGGGGACACACGGCACCCUGCUGGGGACAUGGCACCCCACAAGGGGCACAGGACACAAACCCUGCUGGGGACACAGCGGGUUCUGGAGGUGCCCGGAGCACCAUGCCCCUGGGAUAGACCGGCAGGGCCGGGCAGGCCCCGCCGGCAACGCAGCCUGGCCUGGCCGCAGGGUGCAGGGGUUGGGGGUGCCACAGGAGGGGCGUCACGGCCACGUCUCCACGCGUGGGGAGCAGCUCUGGGCGAGCGGUGCACCCGGGCCUCCCGGAGGGGGUCCCCAAAAGCUGCAGGUCGCGGGGCCGCUCGGUGUCCCCGGGCCCGGCGGUGGCGGAUCCGCGCGCACGUGGUCGAGCCGGGCCAUAGGCCCCGCCCAGCCCCGCCCCUCCCCCCGCGCGCCCAUUGGCCCUCCCCUCCCCCUUACGCGCGCCCAUUGGCCCCGACGCCCUCCACAAACAAAGGCCGGCGACGGCGGGGGGCCCGGCGGGCCGCUCUGAUUGGCGGGACGUCGGCGAAGGGGCGGGACGAGAGGGGCGGGAUGGACUCGGGCAUGCCCCUCCCACAGAGCCGCGCCAGAUGCCUUAUAAGGAGCGGGGCGGGGCGCACCCAUUCAUGCGCGCAGGGGAGGGGCGGCCCUACCGCCCGGCCCCGCCCACGUUUUAGGCGCGCGCUCUAGGGGACGGGGCUCGGUCCCACGGCGCGGUACGGGUGGAUGCGGGAUGCUCGGCCCGGUAAGGCUCGGCUCUGCAAGACCCAGCUCAGCGCAUAUGGUACUCGCAUGACACACGGCGGCUUCCAGCCCGCGCCGGAGAUAUGGAUUGAACUUUAGUCUCUGAGCAAUUAAGGUGCCUGAAACUGCACUUCAUUAAUGGUUGUUAUGCAAUAAAACCAAUAAAACUGCCCUUAUUUGCAAUAUAAAAA